GACGAACGCUGGCGGCGUGCCUAAUACAUGCAAGUCGAACGAGAGCGCCCGGUGCUUGCCCUGGUCAAUCUAGUGGCGAACGGGUGAGUAACACGUGGGUAACCUGCCCAUCAGAGGGGGAUAACAUCCGGAAACGGAUGCUAAAACCGCAUAGGUCUUCGCACCGCAUGGUUUGAAGAGGAAAAGAGGCGCAAGCUUCUGCUGAUGGCUGUACCCGCGGUGCAUUAGCUAGUUGGUGAGGUAACGGCUCACCAAGGCCGUGAUGCAUAGCCGACCUGAGAGGGUGAUCGGCCACAUUGGGACUGAGACACGGCCCAAACUCCUACGAGAGGCAGCAGUAGGGAAUCUUCCGCAAUGGACGCAAGUCUGACGGAGCAACGCCGCGUGAGUGAAGAAGGUGUUCGGAUCGUAAAACUCUGUUGUUAGAGAAGAACAAGUGCUAGAGUAACUGUUAGCGACUUGACGGUAGCUAAUCAGAAAGCCACGGCUAACUACGUG
rnacentral:rRNA from 1 species